AAAAUGUUCGAUGUAUAUAAAAAAAAAAGAACACUGUAGGAUAUUGUAAAUAUUUUCUAAUAAAAUAUAACAUAUUAAUUUAUAAAUAUAAUUUUUAAAUAUUACAAAAUUUGGUUUCUAAACAUUUCUAAUUGUGUAGAUCAACUUCAACGGUGCCGAUUUUCAAUUUGAAGUUCCGAUCAUUCAAAUCGACUUGAUAGGACAAGGGUCCCAAUCCUAUUAAUAGGAUAGUAGCCGGACCCUAUAUAUAU
rnacentral:lncRNA from 1 species